rnacentral:rRNA from 1 species
AUUGAACGCUGGCGGCAGGCCUAACACAUGCAAGUCGAACGGUAACAGGAAGAAGCUUGCCUCUUUGCUGACGAGUGGCGGACGGGUGAGCAAUGUCUGGGAAACCGUCUGAUGGAGGGGGAAAAUCACUGGACACGGUAGCUAAUACCGCAUAACGUCGCAAGACCUAAGUGGGGGACCUUCGGGCCUCUUGCCAUCGGAUGUGCCCAGAUGGGAUUAGCUAGUAGGUGGGGUAACGGCUCACCUAGGCGACGAUCCCUAGCUGGUCUGAGAGGAUGACCGGCCACACUGGAACUGAGACACGGUCCAGACUCCUACGGGAGGCAGCAGUAGGGAAUAUUGCGCAAUGGGCGCAAGCCUGAUGCAGCCAUGCCGCGUGUAUGAAGAAGGCCUUCGGGUUGUAAAGUACUUUCAGCGGGGAGGAAGGGAGUAAAGUUAAUACCUGUACUCAUUGACGUUACCCGCAGAAGAAGCACCGGCUAACUCCGUG